UGCAGAGGUGGCAAGCGUUGUUCGGAAUUACUGGGCGUAAAGGGCGCGUAGGCGGCCUUCUAAGUCAGACGUGAAAUCCCCCGGCUUAACCUGGGAACUGCGUCUGAUACUGGAGGGCUUGAGUGCGGGAGAGGGAUGUGGAAUUCCAGGUGUAGCGGUGAAAUGCGUAGAUAUCGUAAGGAAGACCAGUGGCGAAGGCGGGUCUCUGGACAGUUCCUGACGCUGAGGCACGAAGGCCAGGGGAGCAAACGGG
rnacentral:rRNA from 1 species